rnacentral:rRNA from 1 species
UACGGGGGGGGGCAAGCGUUGUUCGGAAUUACUGGGCGUAAAGGGCUCGUAGGUGGCCAACUAAGUCAUACGUGAAAUCCCUCGGCUUAACCGGGGAACUGCGUCUGAUACUGGAUGGCUUGAGGUUGGGAGAGGGAUGCGGAAUUCCAGGUGUAGCGGUGAAAUGCGUAGAUAUCUGGAGGAACACCGGUGGCGAAGGCGGCAUCCUGGACCAAUUCUGACACUGAGGAGCGAAAAGCCAGGGGGAGCAAAACGGGG